GUUCUAUUACUAACUGCCAAACCUGAAAACAACCAAGAGGUUCUUCAGGAUGUGAAGGGAUAACUAAACUGUGGUGCAUUCAGACAGUAGAGUAUUAUUCACCACUAAAAAGAUGUAGAGAAACCUUAAAUGCAUAAUUACUAAGUGAAAAAGCCACUAUACUAUAUGAUGCCAACUCUAUGACCUUCCAGCAAAGGGAAAACUAUGGAGACUGUAAUUACAAAGGACCUUUGACCAAUAAAGGAGGACUUGGUUGGUGAUGGAAGAGACAAGAAAGUUACACCUCCUCAGAGGAAGUUUCCUGAAUUUUAUUUCUCAGAACGCUUGUACAAACAAAGGGUUCCACGUGUAACUGUUGGCUAGCCACUCUCCAUAAGCCACCAGAGGCAAAGCUUACUGGUUUAACACUCCAGGCCCGGAUGGUGAAGACUUUCCCUAUGGUCCUGGUUUUCCCUUUGUAAAGCACUCUGGUCUUUACUGAGCGCCCCUCUAGAGAUCACCACUCUGUGUUCUCUUCAGCUCCCCGACGCCAGACUCCGCACACCCUUGCCCCUCCACCUGGAACACAGCCAGCCCAUUCCUGCCGACACACACACACACAGAUUUGUUUCACAACAAGCUGGAGGAUUCAAGCUGGAACAUCAAUCUUUCCUUCCUGUCUAUUUCUACUUUACGGUAACGUUCAUCAGUGUUAGAUACGGGUACGAUGGCUUCUGCGGGCUUCUGUGACGUCUCUGCCUCUCUGAGAAUCAGAAAUUAUCAAAAAGAAGACAUUGCCACCCACCACUGCUAUCCCUGCCCCCAUCUGUUUUCUUGAGGUAAAGAGGCUCAUUUCUGAG